GACGUAGGGCGCGAGCGUUGUCCGGAUUUAUUGGGCGUAAAGAGCUCGUAGGCGGUCUGUCGCGUCUGCUGUGAAAACUCAGGGCUUAACCCUGAGCUUGCAGUGGGUACGGGCAGACUAGAGUGCGGUAGGGGAGACUGGAAUUCCUGGUGUAGCGGUGAAAUGCGCAGAUAUCAGGAGGAACACCGAUGGCGAAGGCAGGUCUCUGGGCCACUACUGACGCUGAGAAGCGAAAGCAUGGGGAGCGAACAGG
rnacentral:rRNA from 1 species